rnacentral:rRNA from 1 species
CGCGGCCUAUCAGCUUGUUGGUGGGGUAACGGCCUACCAAGGCAACGACGGGUAGCUGGUCUGAGAGGACGAUCAGCCACACUGGCACUGAGAUACGGCCCAGACUCCUACGGGAGGCAGCAGUAGGGAAUCUUGCGCAAUGAGCGAAAGCCUGACGCAGCAACGCCGCGUGGGGGAUGACGGCCUUCGGGUUGUAAACCUCUUUCAGCAGGGACGAAGCGUAAGUGACGGUACCUGCAGAAGAAGCACCGGCUAACUACGUGCCAGCAGCCGCGGUAAUACGUAGGGUGCGAGCGUUGUCCGGAAUUACUGGGCGUAAAGAGCUCGUAGGCGGUUUGUCACGUCGUCUGUGAAAUCCUAGGGCUUAACCCUGGACGUGCAGGCGAUACGGGCUGACUUGAGUACUACAGGGGAGACUGGAAUUUCUGGUGUAGCGGUGGAAUGCACAGAUAUCAGGAAGAACACCGAUGGCGAAGGCAGGUCUCUGGGUAGUAACUGACGCUGAGGAGCGAAAGCAUGGGUAGCGAACAGGAUUAGAUACCCUGGUAGUCCAUGCCGUAAACGGUGGGCGCUAGGUGUGGGGUUCCUUCCACGGGCUCCGCGCCGUAGCUAACGCAUUAAGCGCCCCGCCUGGGGAGUACGG